GGUGAACGCUGGCGGCGUGCCUAAUACAUGCAAGUCGAGCGAACGGACGAGAAGCUUGCUUCUCUGAUGUUAGCGGCGGACGGGUGAGUAACACGUGGAUAACCUACCUAUAAGACUGGGAUAACUUCGGGAAACCGGAGCUAAUCCCGGAUAAUAUUUUGAACCGCAUGGUUCAAAAGUGAAAGACGGUCUUGCUGUCACUUAUCGAUGGAUCCGCGCUGCAUUAGCUAGUUGGUAAGGUAACGGCUUACCAAGGCAACGAUGCAUAGCCGACCUGAGGGGGUGGUCGCCCACACGGGAACUGAGACACGGUCCAGACGCCUACGGUAGGCAGCAGUAGGCAAUCUUCCGCAACGGGCGAAAGCCUGACGGAGCAACGCCGCGUGAGUGAUGAAGGUCUUCGGAGCGUAAUACUCUGUUAUUAGUGAAGAACAUAUGUGGAAGGAACUGUGCACAGCUUGACGGUACCUAAUCAGAAAGCCCCGGCUAACUACGUG
rnacentral:rRNA from 1 species